GCAUCGGUGGUUCAGUGGUGGAAUGC
rnacentral:ncRNA from 2 species